rnacentral:rRNA from 1 species
GAUGAACGCUGGCGGCGUGCUUAACACAUGCAAGUCGAACGAUGAAGCCUAGCUUGCUGGGUGGAUUAGUGGCGAACGGGUGAGUAACACGUGAGUAACCUGCCCUUAACUCUGGGAUAAGCCUGGGAAACUGGGUCUAAUACCGGAUAGGAGCGCCUACCGCAUGGUGGGUGUUGGAAAGAUUUAUCGGUUUUGGAUGGACUCGCGGCCUAUCAGCUUGUUGGUGAGGUAAUGGCUCACCAAGGCGACGACGGGUAGCCGGCCUGAGAGGGUGACCGGCCACACUGGGACUGAGACACGGCCCAGACUCCUACGGGAGGCAGCAGUGGGGAAUAUUGCACAAUGGGCGAAAGCCUGAUGCAGCGACGCCGCGUGAGGGAUGACGGCCUUCGGGUUGUAAACCUCUUUCAGUAGGGAAGAAGCGAAAGUGACGGUACCUGCAGAAGAAGCACCGGCUAACUACGUG